rnacentral:rRNA from 1 species
ACGGAAGGCAGCAGCUAAGAAUAUUCCGCAAUGGACGAAAGUCUGACGGAGCGACGCCGCGUGGAUGAUGAAGGUCGGAAGAUUGUAAAAUCCUUUUAUGACUGAGGAAUAAGUGAAGUGAGAGAAACGCUUCAUGGUGACUGUAGGUCAUGAAUAAGCAACGGCUAAUUACGUGCCAGCAGCCGCGGUAACACGUAAGUUGCGAGCGUUGUUCGGAAUUAUUGGGCGUAAAGGGCAUGUAGGCGGUUUUGCAAGCUUGGUGUGAAAUCCCGGAGCUCAACUCCGGAAUUGCGUUGAGAACUGCAUAACUAGAGUCACUGAGGGGCAAUCAGAAUUCCAGGUGUAGGGGUGAAAUCUGUAGAUAUCUGGAAGAAUACCAAUGGCGAAGGCAGGUUUCAGGCAGAUAACUGACGCUGAGGUGCGAAGGUGCGGGGAGCAAACAGGAUUAGAUACCCUGGUA